GUUGUCGGAUUCACUUCAAUCCAUGUGUGUUGGUGUGAGUUAGAGUGGAAUUUAGUUCAAGUUCCACACUAAUCCACCUCAGCACAUGUGGAUUGAUGUGAAUCCGACU
rfam:Sorghum bicolor cultivar BTx623 chromosome 3, whole genome shotgun sequence.